GGUCGUGGCUCAGCGGUAGAGUGCUUGCCUAGCAUGUGCGAAGCGCUGGGUUCGAUCCUCAGCACCA
rnacentral:tRNA from 1 species